rnacentral:rRNA from 1 species
UACGGGGGGAGCAAGCGUUGUUCGGAUUUACUGGGCGUAAAGGGCGCGUAGGCGGUCGUGACAAGUCACUUGUGAAAUCUCCGGGCUUAACUCGGAACGGUCAAGUGAUACUGUCGGACUAGAGUACAGAAGGGGCAACUGGAAUUCUCGGUGUAGCGGUGAAAUGCGUAGAUAUCGAGAGGAACACCUGUGGCGAAGGCGGGUUGCUGGGCUGAUACUGACGUGAGGCGCGAAAGCCAGGGGAGGCGAAACGGG